UAUCUAAUUUUCAUCCAUAUGCAUCACCUCCACUUCCACAAUAUUCCAAAAUUUCAUCUCACCCCUUUCGGCCUCUUUUUUAAUUCACUUUUUUUUUUUACACCACACGCUUUAAAGGCCCAACAACAUAGAAUAGAACAAUCAGCAUACAACAUACUGUUCUGUCUCAGAACUCAGAAGAGCACGUAUACCAUAAUUACAGAAUUUACAGCUCUCAGAAUUCAGAGAGAUAUACAAUGAAAUUUGGGAAAGAAUUCAAGACCCACCUGGAGGAAACUCUUCCAGAGUGGAGGGACAAGUUUUUGUGCUAUAAGCCCCUCAAGAAGCUCCUCAAGCACUUUCCAAAUCCCACCCCAGAUUUCAAUCUUCAUCAAAAACAUCACCAUGAUGAUGAUGAUAAUAAUAAUAUUAAUAGUAUGGAUGGCCUUGAUAACCACCUCCCAACCUUGGUGGACCUCCAGGAAUGGUUUAUCAAGAUUCUCAAUGAAGAGCUUGAAAAGUUCAACGAUUUCUAUGUUGAUAAAGAGGAAGAGUUUGUCAUCCGCUUUCAGGAACUGAAGGAAAGAAUAGAGCGACUUAAGGAGAAGAGCAGCAAAGGCAGAGUUUUUACAUCAGAGAGUGAAUUUAGUGAAGAAAUGAUGGAGAUUCGGAAGGACUUCGUAACCAUUCAUGGGGAAAUGGUGCUUCUAAAAAAUUAUAGCUCCUUAAAUUUUGCAGGGCUAGUUAAGAUUUUGAAGAAGUAUGAGAAACGAACUGGGGGACUGUUACGUCUACCUUUUGCCCAACUUGCCCUUCGUCAACCUUUCUUUACUACAGAACAUAUUACAAGAUUAGUCCAUGAGUGUGAGGCAAAUCUUGAGCUCCUAUUCCCAUUGGAAGCGGAAAUUAUUGAAUCUAAUCCUUGUACACAAGACCAAUCAAGCCCACCACCAUAUAAUGCAACAAAAAACUUAUCUGAGACAUCAUCAACUCUUGGAGGGGAAACCGUGUAUCUAUAUCGUAGCACACAUGCUGCAAUGAGAGCCAUACAAGCCCUUCAAAAAGCAAGCUCCACCAGCAAUCCCUUGUCAUUCUCAGCCUUCUUGAGAAACCAGGAUGAUGAGGGUACAGGUGCGGUAACUGCUGAAAACUCUGCUGCAAACUCAUCAGCCUCUUUGCCGUAUGACGAGGAGGAUGAUCAAGAUGAUUCCUAUUGUGUGUAAAAGGAACUUUGUCUCUAUGGUUGCUGUAGUGCAUCUUCUUUUGACUUCUCUAGUUAACAGGUUGGAAUUGAAUAAUAGGUCUUCAUGGGUGUACAAUCAGUUCCACACUUCCACAGCCAUAUAAAUUGUUAUUCAAAUAAAUGGGCAGUUUGAGUAUUAAGAAAGUGCUGCUACUUAGGAUCUGAUGGAAGCAAUCUACAGUCCAAGACCUCAGCUGUCGCUCUAAUCAUCAAUCUCUCUUUAUUAUCCCUCAAAGGCCGCUAAUUUUUCACUUUCAUUUAUUUUCCUUCUAAUAACCAUGAUUUUAAAAUGUUCUUUUUUGACCUCAUGCAGUAUAAUGAAAUUCCUCAGUCCUCACAUUAUUCCAUAAAUACUCCUUUGCCCCUCAAGUUUGUUAGUGGAGAAAACUGAUAAACUUUAAAUUGACGUUCAUCAAAUUCAAUUUUAAAACUUUGAUGUUGACAUGGUGCAA